UACGUAGGGGGCUAGCGUUGUCCGGAAUCAUUGGGCGUAAAGAGCGUGUAGGCGGCCCGGUAAGUCCGCUGUGAAAGUCGGGGGCUCAACCCUCGAAUGCCGGUGGAUACUGUCGGGCUAGAGUGCGGAAGAGGCGAGUGGAAUUCCUGGUGUAGCGGUGAAAUGCGCAGAUAUCAGGAGGAACACCAAUUGCGAAGGCAGCUCGCUGGGACGUAACUGACGCUGAGA
rnacentral:rRNA from 1 species